GCUUCUGAAGCCUUAUCAGGUGUGACGUGGGGUAUUCUGCUUCCCCAGGCAGGGCAGAACAGCAAAGCCGAAUCUUUGAGGAAGACGAUUGCUGGUGAUACCUCUGUGACUCAACAAAAUCCCAGAGCUGACUGGCCUUUUAUAGAGUUUUCCUUGAGAGAAGGAGCUGGGAGGAGAUUCUCUGGAGCUGUAAUUGGAGGGAGUGACUACAAUGAAGCUCUGCCAGUUUCACCAUCUGAAGAACUAGGUAAAUAGAAUAACCUGACACACUGGGACAGCGCUGGUGCUCAAGGGCUGUUUGCAGUGACAGCGGACGUCAUGCUUACAGCUCGGCGGGGCAGCACCGCGUGCCACAGGCUGGACAGGUUCAGCGCUUUCACCUGCAGCCCAGAAUCGUGUGUGCCCAGCCCUGAGCAGGAGCUGCUGAUCUGAACUGGUACGAGGUGGGUCUGGGCUGCUGUUUGCUGAGUGAAGCAGCAUCUCCUCACCUCGUUCCUCCAAACGGUGUGUGCAGGUUCACCAAUGACAGUGGAUAGCAAUGCAUUUCCUUUUAUUUUAGAUUCUGUGCUCAAUCUGAAACAAACGAGGCAAUACCUUACGUUGACUCAACUGCAGAAUCACUCUGGGGAAGAGGCUGCUGAAAUUAUGCUAGCUUGGCACAACAGGCUUUGGCCCUAAGAACCCCCUUAGUCCCUGUCCCAAGUUAUUUAAGCCAUGCUGGUUUAGUUAGGUCUGUCAGGUGGCGCAGUGACGCUACCGUGAAAGACUGAAGUGAAGGACAAGGAAAACUUCUGCCAGUACACUGGGAUCAGUCUGAUGUGUGAGAGCAGAGGCAAGGAACAGAGAAGAAAGUCAUACAGAUGAAAUACUUUUACUCUGUUUUUACUGAUGACAGAAUUUUUAAUAGUUGGUUUUCUGUAGCUACUGAGUAACUUCUACCUCAGCACUGGAACACUGGUAGGCGCAGGCAGUGGCUCAAUUCAGGCUUCUGGCUCAGGGGCUGGGAGAUAGGUUACCUGAAGGAAGUCCUGUGCUUAUCACGUGUGCUGUGCGUAGGGUUGAGGUGGUGACAGGGGAGUGGGUUUGCCAUCAGAGCAGAGUAAGUGCACCUGGAGCUCGUGCCUGGAUUCAGCAAGAUGCUCUCGUUAUCAGUCAUCAUUUAUGUGUCAUUAUCAUACUUUGCAUUUGGGGGUUUCUUAAUUUGUAAACCUUUUAAAGUCUGUUUCAGAAAAGGCUGAAGUGACUGUUUUGGAUUAAAAAAAAUAAAAUAAGGUAAGCAGCAUCAAGCUAUCAUAGCUAAAGGCCUGAUUCUGCGGUCCCUGUUCAGACCUAACUCACAUUCCCUCCAUGAGACUGUGCCUUCCCAGAUCAUAUGCUUUCUUGCUUCUUGGUCUGGGGAACUAUUCGUUUCCUCUGCCCUACAUAAGAAGGGAGGCAAUGUCCUGCUGAGAGCACCUCAGCUGGCUGCAUAAGGUCUGAAUUGCUCCCUCAUAAUUCCUUGCUUUCAAGCUAGGAGCAACACCCCCAAACACCCUCUUUUUGUGAGCCUUCUGUUUUAUGAAGAUGGGAAAAUGUUCUUUCUCUGUUGCUUUUGCAUGGCUACAAAGUGCAGGCAGUGGCUGGAUGCUUAGGAAAGGGGUAUUGCUUUAUUUUCUGCGUGCUGCUGUACAAAUUGACAUGUUAUACAAUUAAUGAGCACACAGCAAUGCUGAUUUGUACGUAGAAGGGAUAUACAAACUACAUAAAUAAUUUUUCUUUAGCUUCUAUUUCUUCCUUAAAAACAAAAUCCUUCAUCAUAGUCUCUUGAAGCACGUGAUAUCUUCAUGCGUUUUAGUUGAGUUUGGAGGAUGAUGUUGUUUCCUGCUGCUGGUUUCUAAAUCAAGAUGUCUCCAUGAAACAGUGUUAACGUUUCAUGGCUAGUGCAGGCCAGUGACUUGUGUGGUCGGUAUCUACGCUCAGGAGACAUUGUGGUGACUCUAUUUUGUACUAAAUCAAUGAGAGAUAAGUGCACAAAAUGAAUGAAAUAUAUACCAGUAAGACUGCCAGAUGAAUUAUUUCUUUUAUUUAGAUUAU